GUGACGUGAUGAUCCAGUUUAUCCAUUCGCUGAGCGGCGGCCGGCUGGUCUCUGCUCUGCUCCCGUUUUGGGGGCGGGGCCUUUCUGUUGAGGUUCCAGGUUCAAGCUGGCGUUCUGCUGGUCCUGACCUGGGACCGGACGGAGAGAAGGACUCGACCCGACUGCUACCAAGACGAUUUACUCUUCUGAUCAC